rnacentral:tRNA from 1 species
GAGGAUAUAGCUCAGCUGUAGAGUACAUGCUUAGCAUGCAUGAGGUCCUGGAUUUGAUCCCCAGUACCUCCA